ensembl:rRNA 5S_rRNA 5S ribosomal RNA
GUUUACGGCCAUACCACCUUAGGCACGCCCGAUCUCGUCUGAUCUCGGAAGCAAAGCAGGGUCGGGCCUGGUUAGUACUUGGAUGGGUAACCGCCUGGGAAUACCAGGUGCUGUAAGCA